UUAAAAAAAAAAAAACCAUGUAUUUAAAAAUAACAAAUUGAAAGUCCACAAGCCCUUUUGCCGCGUUGCUGAGGGAUGGCGAUGCUGAGGGAAGGAGGUGCACGCCCCUCCGGCUGCGAGCGCGGAGUCGUCGUCCAAAGAUGCCCAGGCUGUGGAAAGAAGGGCUGGCUGUGUCCUGCCUGCACUGCCCUCAGCUAUGGAAGACAAAACUCGUUCUACUGGAUGGCAGGGAGAGGUUUCUGAGCCUGCCAUGAGCCCAUAAAAGCCAGCACCUGAGCAAGGGACCUGGACAGACUGAAGAAGACAUGAUGGCAACCUGAAGAAAAAGACUGAAUCAGGGGUCCUGGAGGAACAUGCAUAUUGGUUUUCAUCUGCACUCCUGCACCACCUCCUCCUUCCUCAUCCUCACCCUCAGCCUUUCCUCCCUCUUCAGCUCUGCUUGGCCCUGAGUCCACCUUCCCAUACAAUGACCUGCAAGGCUUGAUGAAAUCUGGCCUAUGACCUGCAUCCAAGGCCUUCCUUGUGGACUGGACAAUUCUGUGAGUAUUAGGAGGACUUUGCAAACUCGUUAAUGGGUUUUAUUGUAUCAUCCCCAUGUAAAAAGACAGAUGAAAGAAAAGGAAAAACAUGGCUUUGCUGCAAAUGCUUUGGUAAGGAAUGCAAGUAGGAGUUGAGCUGGUGGCCAGCAGAGAUUUCUAGAGAAGCUGGGAUGGAGGAGAGCUCAGGAAGUUGGCCAGGUUUGUCUGUCUGAUCUUCCC